GCAGGUGUCAGUUUAUUGUCGAAAAUCAGAGUGAUUAGAUGUGUAUCUGUGUUAUUCCGCGACAGGUGUCAAUUUCUCCGCUGCGUAGUGUUUUCAUAAUCAUUCGUUUACUACUUGAAACCACGCUACUGGCAACUGGUUUAAUUAAUAUCAUUGCUUCAUUGCGAGGGAAACUUUGAAGCAUUAGAAGGAUGUCACGAAAUUCAAAAGGACACUGCAAUGUUCAACGAUGAAUCCGAAAACUUUUCAUGCAGAUUUGAUCCUCGAUUUGGUGGUUCGCUUCGACUCUUGGAAUAGUAGCUGAUUGCUGACUAUCGACGAGCGUGUGUCGCCCGUAUGCAACGUAUUGCGAACCAAAAAGCUGACGGCGGAUCCUCCAAAGGCUGGUUCGUUUCGCUUUGUUGCAGUAAAGGCUUGACAAAUAGGGAAUCGGCGCGGAGGCUAUCGAGUGCCGUAAUUACUCGACGCAACGCGUACUCGCCUAUGCGUAGAGAUGAUAAGAAGGGUGAUACGAAGCAACAAAAACGAGGAAACGAUUUCUCGCCUUUCCAAUUCUUUGGACGAAGCGUAAAUUCAAUUCGAGGAGGAACACGUAUGAAAACAGUGUUAACGGGUUCGACGAAACGUAUCGCGUUGUUCUUGUCUUGCUUGAUCGCCUCUGUGCUUAUACGGAACUUUUGAAAUGGCGAAACGAGCGGACCUCGCCGCACAACGCAUAGAGUUUCAUCUCGGGAGAUUACACGAAUCGUGAUCAAAGUAAACCGGUGAAGAAACGAAGCUUGCUAACAACGAGAGGAUCAGGGCGAGGAAAAGUGAAGCGAACGGAUAGGAGAAGAAAAUAGAAGAAUGGGAGAGAAACGGCCGAGUUGGGUGGCAAUGGGAGAAGGAGGAAGGAGACGAGAGGAAGGGUGAAACGAUCCGCGGCGGCGGUGGCGGCGGCGGCGGCGGCGGCGGCGGCGGCGACGGCAGCAGCAGUAUUCCGGUUUUUUGAUAUCGGCUGGUUUUCGCGGUGGUAGCAGUAUCGAGCUAACAAUUAAUUAUUGGCGGCGCUUCAGAGGGCUGCCGGCAGCCGUAGUUAAACAUUACGCGUUCCAUAUCUUACUGUGCUAUCUAAUCCCCACGGGGGCUCGAGCGCUACUGCAGUAAUCUCGUUUAAUUGCCGGCUGUAGACGCGAGAGUCCCGUUCAAUUAGUUUUUCAAAUAAACAUUAGUUUCCUUAACACGCGGUGCCAUAACGUGGCGGAGGAUGAGGGCAAGGACGAGGACGAGAACGAGAACGAGAACGAGGGCGAGGAUGAGGCUCUGCGGAGAGAGUAGAGAAACAGCCCGAUAGCGGAAAGAAGAUAGGAACGGUCAAAUCGGUGGAGAAAGAGAGAACUGGUCGGUGAAAGGGACAGAAGAGAAGGAGAAGGAGGAGGUGGCAGGCAGCGAUGGUAGUGGCAGUAGGGAACAAAGCGAGAAAGUAAGAGGGGCAAAUCGAAGGUGGGAAAAGAGAAAGAGGCAAGCGCGGGGGGCUUUGGGAGGAAGAGGAGGAUAGCGUGGUACACUCGGAAGGCAGGUCGGUAGAGGUGACGGGUCUAUGGAACAGAAGGGUGACGGUGGAGGAGGCGGUGGUAGCGGACGUAGUGGAGGUUGGCGGAGACGGUUAGAGGGAGGAGAAAUACCAGUGGAAGAGAAGGGUGGUGUCGCGGCCGCGGGGUAAGUAAUUAACGACACAUUUAUACGAUAUCGCCCACGGGUGCGGCGUAGCGCGGUGUAGCGCGGCGUGGCGCGGCACGGUGCAGCGCGGAACGGUGAAGAGACACAAACGUGGUGGUGAGAAGGACGAAGCGGGGAGCAGAAGCGAACCAAGCUAGAAUCUCGUUCGUAGGAAAUGCUUCGCUAAUAGGAAGCUAUGCGUUCGUCGAUAGAUAUCUAACGUAGACCGACCAACCGAUCGAUUGACCGACCGACCGACCGAUCCCCUCAACAUCUGACCGUCUGGCCUUACGACUAUCCCGAUUCGUAAAUGCGACUAUCGUUUCGACGAUCACGAUCAUUCGAACGAUGGAAGAUGCGGUGUUUUAGCGCUUGCGAUCGAAUUUAACGAUCGCCUUUGUUCGUCAAACUCCUCGUAUCUUUCUAAUACAACGAUCGAUCGUUCGUUUCUAUUUUUGUCGAAUAUCUUCGUCGAUUAUUGCUGUGCAUUAUUGUUAUUGGUAUCUGUCGUUAGCACAGCCCUAGCUGUAUCCGACGUGGCCGAUACGGGAACCGGCUAGAAAUCGAGAAAGAUCGACAAAUCAUGGAACAAAGCGGAAUACGAGUUGGCAAACAAGCGAAAGGGGAUCGACGCGACUUUUGCCUUUGCGCGAAACGUACUCGUUGCUCGCGCGGCUGGUUAUGGUGAUGCGGAUUAUUCACUAAUAUGAUUUACGACGUAUUACCCCGACGUGCUAGCGCGCGCGACUCACAAUGCGCACAUAAUGUGAGGCAUAAUUUAUUAAUUUUACUAAUGGCUCCUGCCCAUUAUUAUUGAUUUCGGACCGCGCCUCGUUCGGACGGGCGCUGAUUUAUCCCGGUCGUUAUCGGCCCCAUGUUAAAUCGUCCGCGAACCAGGAGCCGCGAGAAUACAAUUCGACGACUCGUGUACUUUUCCUUUCCCAUUGCGCGCCUGUUCUAUAGCUGUCGAUAUAGCAGCUAUCGAUGCGAGUGGAUAUCGGUAGUGCAAGCCGUCCAGUCUCCUCCCGUAUUCGUUCGCAGGCAGGCUCGCGGCCUGUAAGAGAAAAAAGGAAAACUCUUUCAUUUCGUAUGUUUCGAGUCCAACAUGCCACGGAUAGAAAUCGUAAAGAUAAAAAUUGCUCGAUCAAAUCGUUGUACGAAAUACUUGCUGCUCGAGUGUCUCGACUUUACCCAAUCCAAUUCGAAACCGUUGCGACUGUGAAUAUUAUUUAACUGUUAGGCCAUUCUGAAAAUUUAUCCCAUUCGUGCUCAGCAUACCUUAAACAUCGAAGAUGAAAAUGCAAAGGGAUGAAAAGCUUUCUAAAAAUUCCAUCAAUUUGGUAUAUUUGAUAGUUGUUCUUCCUUUUCUUUCCUCUUUUCGAUUAUUACUUAAUUGGUUAAUUUUGCAGAUACGAAAGUUUGCGAGGGAUUGUCCGAAAGGAGGCUACGGGCAAAGGGUGAUCGACGAAGGAAAAUACACGAGGGAAGUGCAUCGAGAACGAUCCAGACACCACGUUGCGCGAAUGGCCGCGCCGACACGAUAUUAAAACAUUAAAAUAACGUACGACCGUGCAAAAACGAAAGGCUACGGUUGACGCGAUCCUUUCAUCGCAAUUCCGACCGUCCGGUACUCUAUUCAAACACGAUCAUUCGUUUCGUUAUUACGCGGCAUUUUUCACCGAUGGACAAGCGCGUAUGGCUUACGCAUCGCGCAUUCGUCAUUCGUCCCGGCGAUCCCGCGAAUUUAUCAAUUUAUCAAUUUUUAAAUGUUACACGUUUCCCGGUAAUGGACUAGGACACUGCAGACACGACGAAGCGUAACAGAUCGAGGCGCGAGGAGCAAGACAUCGAGGAAGAAGCGAGAAGAAAAGGGAACCGGAUCAACACCGUAUCUUCUCGACGUUCCGCAGCUACUGCUGCCAUCUGGAACCACGAAUGUUCGAACAAGUUGCGGACACGGCAGAUCGCAGCGCGUGGACCUCGUCGAAGAGAAACAAAAUGAAGGAAAAGGAGAAAGUUUCCUUCUUGGAACAGGGGGAGAGGAUGGACUCGAUAUCAGUUGUUUCUCCAUCGUCUCUACUCUCGGCCACCGCGUUUCGACGUAUGCGUCAGUCUUCUCUUUUGGAAACGUUGCUGGCCGAGACAAAGACGUCAACAAAAAAUUAAAUACAGUAGAACGUCGGUUAUUCGAUCUAGUCGAGAGACAAGGGCGUCCAGAUGAGGGAACUUUCGGACGAUGGAACAGUUACUUUUUCGAUGUUUAUCUUCGCGUAUUUAUUUCAAAAAAGAACGUAAAUAUUCGUAACAGCGAUACAAAUAACGUAAGCAGAUACGAUGCGAUCGAAGAUUUAUGGAUCUCAAGAUUUUUUAGCUGCCAUAUCAGAAACCUUGUUUAGCGGAUUCAGUUCGGCAAUGUUACAUUCAUUUUGUGCCUCCUCCCAUCUUAACUUUACUUCUAACGCCUCAAAUGCUCUUAGCGUCAUGGUCAAUCGAGUAAAUCCGUCACAUUGAAACCGUUCUAUCGCGUCGCAGCGCUAUCACAACCAUCGAAUCCCGGUAUUGAACCAGUGCAGGAAGUGUUUCUUCUACAUCUGUCGUAAUAUUGUCGUCCACUUUUUCCCGUAUGGUUUCAUCGAUGUAAUUCACUGGUAUACUCCAUGCUCUUUUCCAUGUCACACAUUUAACGCCCACCCAAGCAUAUGUCACCGUGUAACAGCAAUGCGUUAAAUUUAAUUGCUUGUGAAGUUGUUGUAUCACCUUUUCGCUAGUAGCGUCGUUGAUCGUUAACAAAAAUUCUCGUGGAAGAUUGAACAUUUUAUACGCGAAACGUGUUCGCAUAAUGGAACGUUGGGAUGACACAAUGUUUGGAUGAUAGAGAAUUCGAAUAACAGAGUUCGGAUAAUCGAGGUUCCAGCGUACUCUGUAGAAGCUGUUUCAAAUAAUUUAUUACCGAAAAGGACGAAAAGAUGUUUAAGAGUGGACCGGUGAAGUUAUAGAUAUCAAAAAGUCUGAUUUUAGUUAAAUUCUUCUCAAUUUUCGUACGACCUAAUAGUAUCGGGCGACAGUAAUAGACGAGGGGAGCAUUUCCUUCGUCGUUGUGUCGUCUCAUGGGAAUUCUUCCUAGCUAUGUAGCGUACUUUGACCAGGAACAGGCAUCGUGACUAAAACGUAGUUAAAAUAGACUGAUUAAGAAAAAACAACCACGACGUCACGCUUUCGUACAGGAAAGAACAGGUCGUUUCUACGGUUGUCGUAUCUUUCAGUUUCACGAACUCCAGUUGGAGCUGCGAUACGGUCUAACGAGCUGUUCGAAAGCAAACAGUAGGCGAUCUACCGAGAUAGCGUGUUGUAUAGAUCAGAUACACGGUAACGAAGGAAUUAUAUUACUCUUAGCCGAUGAACCUUUGAUGAUUCCGUUUGAAGUCGACGUUUCCAGGCACCGGAAGCAAAGCAGCAAGAGUGGAGGCAGAAGCAAAAGCAGAAGCGGCAGAAGCUGAAGCGUUAGCAAGCACGAGGUACGGCGCACAACGCGUUAGGAGCACUGUCACCCUCGACUUGGCCGGCAGAGAGAAGGGUGAGCUUUCACAGAGAGAUUACACGAACCCCUCGAGUACGGAACUGCAGGUACGUUAACCGCAAGCCGGACGGUCAUUAUUAGCAGGUACCUUGUGCACGGACCUCUAGUAAGCCGUACAUCGUUGAAUAAUUAGAAUGCCACACGACUACUGCCAACCACCGCGUCUAAACACGUUCGUAACGCGCUAUCUUCUUUCAUCUUCAUCCAACGAUGUACGCACGAUGCGAUUCUUCUGCUCCUAAUUUCUUCUAAUUUCAAGGUAUCGUACAAACAUUUAUAAACCCUGCAAGAAGUUUCUAUAUUUACUUGAAGGAAACGAUUAAUGUUCGCACAAUCGAGCCUCCACUUGUUAUCGAGUUAUCAAUUGCACAUUAUCCAGGUACAUAUUUAGUAUGCAACGUUUGAGAAAGGAAAUCUUAUUUUUAUAAAUUUGUUCGCCACAAGUUAAUGAUCCUAUUUAACGUUUCCGUCGAAAAUUGUACGCUCUAAUCGCCGACCAGUUUUACCGACCUCGCAACAUCGGUUCCUUCCGGUGUAUCCAUUCCCUUUCGACUAGGUUGCCUCGAUCGUUCCUCGCCGACGACACUCAAUCGAUGGUAUCAAUUCGUAGCAACGAUGAAAAUAACGAGUCAAUGACAGGAGUGGAUAAAGCGGACAGAAACUGAAUCAUAUCGUUGUCGGCGAACGCGAUUACGUUAUCUCAGCCGGAAGGCACGUUACUCCGAUAGUUUGCUCAUCUCUUUAUUUCGUGAUGGCGGCCCUCUUAUUAAUAGACGGCCGGGUAUAUCGAAACGCGGUAUUCGAAAAUCGGUUACGACUCGAUAUAUAAAUGGUCGCGCGCUCGGUUUUCUCUUUGAUGUUACGAGGCGACAAAAAAUGGCUGUUUCCUUGUGUCGGAGCGGUUCGCUUGCUUCCCUCUCUCUCUCGAUGACCGAUUCCUCUGCGGGGAAAAAAUUCGAUUAGACUGCCAAUAACUAACGGCGUAUGCCCUGUUACCAAGUUUGACGAUUAAUUAUCGCGAACAACGCGUGUUUGAUGUCGAAGGAAACGUUAACGUAGCCCGAUUGAUCGGUUAAUUGAAAGGGACGGUAAGAAGGUGGCGAGGGGGUGUACGGGCUGGGAACGAGGGGGAACGACAGCCCGCGGGGCCCUCCGUUCGAGGGUAAAACGAGAAUGGAUGCUAGCAGAGCGGAGGCACGCUGCCGGGGAAGAACAUGCUACGAACCAAAGCAGAGAGUAGUGGCUCUGUUUCGUGCCGUUCUCUUCUUUGCUCCCUUUCGUUCGCCUCGACGGACUCCGACAGCUCUUUCAUCUACGGAUGAUUACCUACUACGCUGCGUCGCUCUAAACAGACCGGCGCUUCCUUUCCGUUUCCGAUCCUUCCACCGCUACUCCCACCCCUUUUCCUCCAGCCCCGUCUCCGCCCCUAACCUCGAGCCUUGAAAUUAGCUAGACAAAUGAAAAGCAAUUAAUGCUUGUAUACGCUAAACGCGUCGAAACGAGACUAGAGCGAUGUCGCGUUGAAUCGAAGGGACGUUCGAUUUCUGUUUGAAAGGUAUUUUGUUCGAAAUUUUCACGUUUAUAUCGUUCAUAUUGACGAUUGUUAUAAUUUACUAUAUGGAUGUAACUCUUACGAAUAGUUUUAGCAGAUCUUUACUAUGAAUCACCCAAUACGCGUGAGAUUCUGAUUCUGAAUCUGAUCGUUUCCUUAACACGUUCGAGACCGGUGACAUUUGCAACAAAUCUCUUCUGAACGACAGGAGACUUUUUUUUACAUUUGUAAUGAAAAAUACGCGAAAGUAAUCAGUGCAGGAAUAAAAAACAGCACGUUUCAGAAAAUUUUUAUUUAAAAAUACGUGAUGACAUACGCGGUAUGUCAUCGGACAUUUGUAAUAAUUUUGAUGUCGGAUGACCAAGUGACAUACCAUGUACGUCAUCCGAAUAAAAUAGCGUUUUAGUUAAAAUUUUAGGAAAGAUAAACACGUGAAAGGUAAUAAUAUUUAUUUCAAGAAUGAGAAGGUUAUAUAACAUGUGUAUACAUAAUUUUACGGAAGUAUGAAGAUAUAUUUAUGUGUAUAGUUAAACGCAAAAAUUGUUUCAAGUAAUAUAAAUAAAUUAUCCUUAUGAUAAUUCCUGAAACAAGGCAUAAACCUCUCUCAAACAUAAACCUGGAUUAUCUUUGCAGCUACUGCACAAAAUAAUUAAUACUUUCGACUUUUCUGAUUGUUAUCUGAGAAUUGACUGAAAAUACCGAUGACAUACAUGAUGGUGCUGUCGUCGGUCAUUGCGGUGAGAUACUGCAUAACACGCAUGCUAUGUAAUCGAUCUCGAACGUGUUAAUGAUUGAAAUUAAUUAUCAUGUUUCGCGUGGAACUAGUACGUGUCCUAAUAUUUAUCAACGGAGGUGUACAUGUAGAUUAUUUUAUGACCUCGCGUGUAUAGUUGUAGCGAAUUUCAUGUGUAUUUAGAUUUUGACCCAAAGGAAAGGAAACCAAGUCAACAGAAAAGAAAAUGAUUGCAUGUCAACGUAACGAAAGAUCGAGGAUUCGCGUAACCAGCAAAGAGUGCUUUUGCUUGCCACCUGGGCCUCCCUUUAACCGUUUUGAACGUUUACGUCACGACAUUUCUCGUUUCUCGUUUCUCGACCUAGUCACAAUUAUGCACCGGCGGAAAUAACAUUUACUUAGCAAAGUCGCGCUCGAGUAUUGUGGACCUGACACAUAUCACUUGGUCGCGUGACUCGCUCCGUUCUUGGCUGCGUCGUCCCGCGACGGCGGCAGCUUAAACUCAACUCGAACUUUCCGUCGCGUAGCUGAGACGGCUGCAACGUGUUGCGCGACGUAUCGAGCUUCUCGGCAAGGAACCGUCGUUCUCGGAGCAGCGCGCCUAAAACACGUAGGAGACGCCGAAAUUUCGCCCUGCUAAGCUUUUUUCCUUCUUGUUCGAAAAUUAAUCCGCGUUAGACUCUGACAAGCUUUGUGUAAUCACUUGGAAAUCUUAGCUACCAACUCCUGUAGAUACUUUUUCAUAAAAGUUGGUACGUAUAGUACGGGUUAUUUGGGUCAGCGAGGAAAUAUUAUACAGGCCAUUUUGAAAAUAAUAUUUCACUAUAUGUGUACUUGGUGUUUUCCAUGAAAAUCGUCAUGAUGAAUCUCUCGAGAUUCGCGAUCAAUUGUAGCGUGUAUCCGCAACAAAAGAGAUACAAGAACAAGCAAUAUGCAAUCUCGAGUUUGCAAACGAGAUAAUAAUCUCACAAUUUUUAAAUAGUCCUUAGUGAUUUUUUUGUACCAUGUUGUUUUUGAUAAAUCUCCUGAUACUUACGAACGGAGAUGAUAUACUGAAAUUGAUGGCCGCUUCUGUGUAUCCUGUCAGCUUAUUAGAACCAUAUUAAGCGUAAGUUUACACAGUUGCCACCAGGCUGCUGUAUGUAACAUGAUAAAUAGAGCGGACCGUACCUUAUCAUCCUGAAUAACUCGUUCCUUGCUACACAAUCGAACUGUAUCGUCAUCGAGCGACCUUUUACCUCGCGACUGUACAAGAAACCAAAAUAAUCGAAGAAAUCAGAGAAACGAAAGAAGUGGUGGAAGGAACCGAAGAAAGCGACGAAAACGACAGCUAAACGACUGGAAGGAGCGCGGGUGAAUCGAACGAGCAGGACCUCGCAACGUUUCGCUGUAAUUUACGAUCGUCCGAGAGUAUGGAAUCCUCCGGGCACCGUGCGGAACACGGCCUCCUUACAUAAAAAUCGGGAAACCGCUCGCGGCCGAGACCGACCACAAAUCAUCGUCUGUCAUCCGGUGAAACGAACGUUCCCGUGGAACGGCGAUGUGUUCUUCUCCGUCGGGACAUGUGCCGAGCACACGAAACGAGUCUACAUCAUGCCGUCUGGCCAAUGGACCGAAAGAUGCCCUUCUAACCUUCUAACCGAAGCUUUUGCAGGUUUGCGAUGCUGCCGCAUGGAAAGAGUACAAAAAAGAAAAAAAAAGGGAAGAUCGGCUGCCAAGAAGCGGCGAGAAUUUACUUGGACACGAACAGAGAAGCACGGAAAAGUGGAAUUUUCUAUAAGCAUCAGACCUGAUCGUCUAAACGUGUACAAUCAGCUGCCGAAGUGGGUCAUACGUGUUCUGCUACAUCCUGUAUACAUACACAACAUUGAAACACGCGCUUUAAACGAGACCGUUCACUCUAUUCACCACUGACCGGUACAUGACGUUGCUGUUACACGACGGUGCCUGCCAUAUAAUAUAAAUCGACCUUAAGUUAAAUCGAAAGGGUCGUUGCGUGGCCCGUCGUUACAAUCGGUAGUUAGAAAGGAAAAAUCGCGGAACGUCGACGGCCAGUGCGUUUGUUUCUGUAAAAUGCACCGUUCGCGAGUACACCUCGCCUUGCCCCGUCUUGCUUAAUCCCGGGGUAUUUAUUCGCAUGAUAAUAAUAGUAACGGCGUUGGAACGUUUUCAAGAAUUAUUGCUGUCCUUGCCGCCGACGAUAAAUGAGUCCGGAGGAUUAGCUAAACAGUGGCUCAAAAAUGUUAUUAUAUAGCUGCAUGAAUAUUCAUCAACUCACGUGAGUACGCCGAGUUGCUUUUAAAAGGUUUUGCCUGUGGUUCUUCCGUUAUUCCACGACCGUGUCGGUUCGACGACGAUACCGUAGAUCGCGGUGACCACGGAAUUUCGCCUUCUCCCCGUCUCUAAACAUUCCAUCUCGGAUGUGUCCCGUACAUCGAUCGCGCAUCGAGUGAUAUUUUCACGGAUAAAUUCGCAGGAACGCGAAGAUUGCUUAAGACCGGUUUUGCUGGUUGGGAAACAGCGUCGCGCUAAUUGGUAGACGAAAUUUGGAACUGUCGUCGCGUCAGGAAGAAUGGCCAAUAAGGAAGAGCACGUAGAAGGCGUGGCCAAUGUUCUUAGAUCUGUCGUUACGGAUUGAUGCUUUACUACGGCCGCGUAAUCCAGCGUUUCACUAUAUAGUCAGUUAACUAGAAACGGGGAAAAUAGUAAGGAUAACGAACGAUUGAUCAAAGAGAUUGAGCUCUGGUGCGUUGAGAUCCCAAAGAUGCGCUAAUAUUCGAUGCUGACGUUUUGAUAGAUUUGUAUGAACAAUAUGCGAAUUUUACUAGACAGAUAGUAUCUAUGGAAUCAACGGAUGUACGUAUAUAUAGGAUCUUCGUAACACUCGUGCUCGUGUACACAACCCCUUCACAAGUCAACUUGCGAAAAAUCAAGCGUUUCCGGAUAACGAUAGAACAUCGAUUAAUUAAAAGGCACACUCGUUAACCGGUAUUAUACCUGCACGUGCGAUUGAUAUUUUUGCCAGAACGUUUGGUAAUCGCGUUGACGCGGCAACCAAAUUUAAUUUGCUCUCCGUUCGAUGUACUCGUUGCUCGUCAGCGUGCGAAUCGAUUCGAACCAACGAAUAACGAGCGGUCGGAAUUUCGGGGACGCGACGCUAGGCUAAUUAACGUCUAGAUUGGCUACACGUCCAACCUUCUAGCUAGGUAACAUUGCGUUCUGCCUCCCCGUCACUUUCCGAACUUUCCAUGUUUUCCAAUUUUUUGUUCUCCCAUUUUCCCUCUUUCCAUUUUUCACGCAGUUUGCCACGCGUAGGCAACUAACUGGUAGAGAUAGCCGCUAACUGAUACCUGGGAUUUGCAGGAACAUCUUCAGAGUGUGUUUGCUUGGAGAUAUGGUAAGAACGCAACGUGACGAAAAAUGCAAAGGACGAGGGGGGAACCUUCGGACGAGGCUGAGGCAGCAAAGGUAGCAAAGGCGGUCCAAGCAGUUCGAUAACGCGAUAAGGCGAGGUUAAACCCAUGUUUGGCGGGCAGGUUAUAGGUUAAACGGUGAGCUAGGGGGUGCAACAGGUCGCGUGAACUUGGGUGAAUUUUCUGUUCCAGGGCGCGCUGUCUGGCCCUCCUGCAUUCCCCUCCCCCUGUUGUUCCCUCUGACCCCUUCGCUCCUCUGUUCCCUCCCGCCAUGGUCACAGCCACCCCUAACGUCGUUGUUCUCUUUCUCUCUUCCUCCUCUCACCCCCACAUCCGUAGUAUGCACCCCACGCCACCCCCUGUCUGUCUCUCUGUCUUUCUCCUCUUCCCUUCUAUCUAGCCGUUACGCCGUCAUUAGUCAACGUCGACGCCUAUACCACGUGGAGUCCCGCAGAAUGCACCAGCUGCUUGAUAUCCCUCUGUAUCCGUAGCUACAAAUUCGAGUUACGGAUUUCCCGUCUUCGAGCCAUGGGCCGUGUCCCGUGUUCUUUGCACGCGCGGAUUACCCCGCCACUUUUGCACUCUGCAGAGUUGGAAUGACGGAUGAAGGGACUACGGGACCGAUUGGUCGCGAUACAUUAGAUUCAUCUUAAUCUCGCGUGCAACGUAUCAUUGGCUGUUACGAGAAUUAGAAACAUAGACGCGAACAACGUCACCGAUCUAGACAGGAUCAAGAUGAAGAAAGAUCGAUGUAUAUCAAGAUGUCAUCUACACUCUUCGUCGAGUCCUCUUGCAGCGGAAAUCCUGUGCCGUAACGUAAGACGAAACGUAAAGCGUUUUCGCAUUUUUGACCGCCUUCUACGAUAUAUUAACAUUAGCACCUUUGUAUUAUAUCGACGAACAGGAGCUGUGGAUACUCGGAGAAUGCGUAAAAUCAGUGACCUGGCUGCUCUAAAGUGGAAAUCGGAGAGGGAAGGAUGGCGCGAGCGAGCGCGGAAUUUAACCAAACAUUGCUCGCUCGAAGAACAAAGCUUGAUUUAUUGUAAUGAGUUUGCAGGAGUUAAGAGGUCUAGAUCGUGAGUUUGGCCGACGGUGAGGGUUUGGUAACAACGGUGGCGACGACGACGAGGAAGACGACAGCGACGACGACGACGACGACGAUGUCGGUGGGGUGUAGCAGGUCGAGAUCUCUCAGCGCUCUGUACUUUGCUCCGAUUCGGCAGACGGGGGUGGCGGACCGAAGGGAGUCGGAGGGAUCCCUAAUGAACGCCACGACGAAGUCUCUCUUUUCUUCUGUAUACCGUUCUCGCUUUUCCCUACCAAUCUUUCUUCUCCGACUCGUUCCCGUAGCCAACGGCGUGUCGCUCGUUCCACGCAUUAACGCGAGAUUUAUACCGUGGACUCCUUGGACGAUAUCGCAUUUACAUUUUUGUCGCAUCGCUAUAAACCACCUACGUACCCAGCGACCUACCGGCGUACAUUCCACCAACCCCUAUCGCCCUUUAUCGCGACUCGCGUUUUAAUCGUCGAACGAUUCAUUCCUCGUUGUAUAAUUUCCCUUUCCGUGACGGAAAUCGUCGGGCGCACGACUCCUUUCGCUUCGAAACUCUUUUAUUUUUUCGUUGAGAAGCUCGAAAGCAACGGAGCCGAAAAAAGUCGAUCGAACGUAUCGCGUCGUGUCGACGCGUCGCAAUUGCUAUUGUUUUCGAUUCCACGCGCAUAAACGUGGUAUAAACGGAGAGAAGGGAGACUAGAGGGAGAAAGUGGGAGAGAUACAUGGCGGCAGUAUGUUACACGUGUUACCGGCCGGCACGUACGGGUUACGUCCGGCAGUCAAUCGCUCUAAUACUCGCACUUGGCGCGCCACGUUGCGUACUGGUGACUGUGCGCGUUGCUGUUGGCUCGCCCGCUUCCUCACCCUGUCUCUUGUUCCUUUGUCGUCACCGAUUUUUCUUCUUUCAACCGCUGAUUAUUUACGAAAAUACGUGCUUUCAGACUUUAAACUCUUACACCGUGGUCGCGGUACACGCGCGUUUUGACGAACCUCGGACAAAUAUAACAAAGCAUUCAAAUACAGAAUUUUUCGAGUCAGAUACAGAAUUUACCCUUCGACAUCUUACAAUCCAAUGAGGUUGACAGGAGCGAACAUUUCACAUACGAUCGAAGAUUUCUUGGACAUACGAGACAUCAUCUGCCUGAGAAAAGAAACGGAUUUAUUAAUUUUGGACGUAUCUCGUAAUUUUCUUUAGUAUCCAACUAAGAGCGUUACGCCUGUCCGAACAUUUUCUUAUUUGACAGAAAUUCGUCGUAAAGAAGCUAUGAAUUUUUCGAACAACUCCACAUACAGAUUCUUAUGAGACGUUUCACCCAUCGUUCGAUUAUCAACGACUCUGCUUGUAAUCCGGUACGAUAGGUUUCGGUUUAGGUUUAGUACAUAGUCGCCUACUCAUUUUUACAUCGACGGACGACUACUGCGCAAGACGUAACCCGAGAUACAGGUUGACCGACAGAGUCUGCUACGCCGUAGUAUCGCAAUCGCUUUACCGAGGCGUACAUCACGGACGUCCAGGACGCUCUGCCCUGAGUUAUGCUCGACAAUUAUACGUAUCUACCUGUGCGGUGGGCGUUAUUAUCAUAUUAUACCGCGUUACCCCUCGUCCACGAACGUCUGCGAGACACGCAUGCACAUGAAUCCAACUCCAGCUGACAUUGCAGAGCAUCGAGGUCGAAGGUUCGCGGUCCGCAACGCGACGAUAAACGGUCCUGACGCUCCUCCUUUGUCCCUCCUCUUCUUGCCCUCUGCAAGGAGACACUACUCGAGGAAAUCCGAAUUGUGGCGUUAUCAGGCUUUACUUCUGACCUUACUGCGUCUGAUUAUUUCUAGUAUAGCGAAAAUUAGUCCCUGCACGAUGAAGGUUGCCUCGAGGCAUCUCUCUAGAUAAAGUCUCACGCUGGCUGAAUUAGGUAUCGUGUCACCUAGUCGCGAUCAGUAGCUUUGAAGCGACGAAAUAUCGUUUCGACGAUCGUUCACUGUAGCGAUAGAAGAGAAGGAAGUAUCGUACGAAGGAAGAAAACGGUUAAAAGAUCGACCAAUUGUCAGAAACGUAGGUGACCAUGCAGAGUUUUCCUAGUGAAUUCGUUGCAAUUUGUUUGUAGAAUUAACACGCGUGUAUAGGAAUUACGAGCUUGAGUCGACCUAUCGAUGAAAUAGUCGCGGUAAAUCACAUUGCACUGCGUGAAAGUUGCCGAUUGCGAUAUGGUAUCGCUAUACAGAGUCUCGCGUGAGAUCUCGUUUAGAGGUAAGCCUCGUUGUACAGUGCCUAGCGUAAAAGACAGGUGAAAGACCGGUGACGAAAGGAGAAGGCUGCGAAGGUGUUAUCGGUGUGACGCAUCGAUCGAAAGGUCUCGAAGAAACUGAGUGAAACGGAAGUUGGAAGGCAGAGGUAGCUUGCGACUCGACGGGCAUCGAUCGGCGUAUGUCCCCCUCGGCGGGUGACCGGGCCUCGAGCCAAAGCUCGUGCGCUCUGUGGGACGGCUGUGAAAAAUCCCUGAAUUAUGAUAAUGGUGCCGACAUAAUGCGAUCCAAUGAGGCAAUCAAGGGGUGGCAGUGGCGUCGGCGGCGGUGGCGGCGGUGGUGUUGCAACGGACGUUGGUUGACGAUAUCGAUGGUCGAUGCCGACGUCUAUGUCUAUGUCUACGUCUAUGUCUAUGUCUAUGUCUAUGUCUAUGUCUAUGUCUAUGUUUGUGUCUAUGCCGAUGUCGAUGUCGAUGUCGAUGCGAUGUCGAUGUAGAUUGGUGUUGGUGUUGGUGUUAGUGUUAGUAUCGGUGUCGGUAGCAGUGUCGAUGCCGAUGCUAGUGUCGAUGCCGAUACCGACGUUGCGGGGUGACGCGAGUUACGCAUCCCGGAAUCGUAUUAACGUUGCUGGCCACCGAGCCGAGCCGAUCCGAACGAGCUCGGCGAUCUAUGUGUCGGGAACGAUACAAUACGUGUAGCAGGUAUAAUUGCCGUCGGUGGGUAGCAGUUGCUCUAGGAGGAGCCGUUCCCAUCAAUCAGCACCGCUAAACAGUCAAGCGCGAAUCACACGCGAUCCUACUGUUCGAUACUCUAAUUGCUCGAACGCGAUUUUAUAUACGUUUUCCGGCCAUCUCUGCGCGCCCGCUCAUCGACUGAACGUUCUCGUUCUAUACGCAGUUGAAAAAAUCCGAUAUCAGCUUCGACAUAUAUACGUACACACGUGACUGCAUCUUUUUUCGAAAAACGAGAGACAACAGGCUGGUAAACCAAUGUGAUAAUAUCGGAGAAAGAAGAGCCGCGAAAAGAAGCCCCGCGACUUAUUCGAACGUACCACUCGAUAGAGAUAUGCGCAUGCACGCACACGGGCGCGUAGAACGCGCGCGACGCGUACAACACCUACGGUGACGCUCGUUGAUGGAACGGGACGCCAUGCGGUAGUUAUGGGAC